CUCCCACUAGGGGUAGCUGUUGCCUGAACGCCGAAGCGCUCCCCUCCCGCCGCUCGCCUCGCCCGGCGCAGCCCCGGCCGCCGGGCGCACCCGUCCCGUGCGUCCCCGGACGUUGCUCUCUGCCCCGGGAACGUCGAGACUGGAGCGCCCGAGCUGAGCCACCUUCGCCGACCCCGGGCGCGGCGGCGCGACUCACCGCGGAGGCGCCCGGACGCGUAAAGGAUGUUGGGGCUGCGCAGCCCAGGAACUCCCUGCCUGGAGGAGAGCCAGCCUGGUCCCAGCUCCUCUCCCCCUCCGGGGUAGGGGUCCUUCAGUUUCAGAAAGUGAAAAAGCCACUUUGGGGCUGGGAGAGCCUUUUCUGCUGCCUGGGACCCGGUGGCGGUGCUGGUGGAUGUGCGGAAGAAGUGGUUCAGGGGGCUCAGGGGGGCUGUGCUUCACCCCCAUCCUGCUGCCCCCGCAUUGCUCAGCUCGGCUGGGAUCCUUUGCAGCCACCUGUUCCCGGCACCCAGGAGAAGCCAAUAAACCUUUGUGAAACGAGUGAGUGGUGUGGUGUGGACUUACUGGAAACUUGUUUCUGGAGAAUUUCAAGGUAUUUCGUUCUGCCCUUUUGCCUACUGGCAGCAGUGAGCAAGGUAGGGCAUGUGGGCAGUCAGCGCCCAGUGCGGCCUUACGGGACCUGCGGCGGAGAGCACGGUCCCUGGGAAGUCCCCGUGGGCGUGGGGUCUAAGGCGUCCUCCAUCCCCUGGCCACUGGGCCAAUCCGUUUCCCUUGCUGGGAUGAGCAGGCCUCCCACGGGUACCUGGGCCUCCCAUCACUGGGCUCACACAUGUCAUGUGCUUCAAGAACGACUUCUCAAACUUCUCCCGCCUCUCUGGACUCCAGCGUGGCCGGGCCUGCUGGGUGGACUCCCUGCGGGGGAGAAGUGGCCGAGGGCUCACUGGUCUGGUCUUGGGGGAGUCCUUAUGACAGCAGGUCUCCGCGCCUCCUCACACGGCAGGCCCCGGCUGGCACCCUCCGGGGAGCUCGAGGUAGGAAUGGGGAGUUGGUGGGCUUCCCCGGGGGGUGGGCAGGUUGGGAGCCAGGCCAUGAGAGCUUGUCAGAGCCCCAGGGCCUGGAUGGAGCAGGGGUUCGGGUGGCAUUCCAGGGCUAGAGGCCCGGAGCUCCCGGCCAAGGGGAAAGGCCAGGAGGUGAUGGCCAGGCCACCUACGGUAUGACGGGGACAUGUUCUGUCCCUCCCUCGGGCCUCAUCGGCACCGCAAGGGGAUUGGGUGGCUACUUUCCAAUGCUUUCCCUGUGCUGUCCUUCCAGAAGGCCAGGAGGUUCUAGGAGGUUUUAUAGGACCUGCCUUGCCCCUGCAUGCUGCUUUAGGGCUGGUGAGACCCCCACUGGAGGAUGGAAGGCAUCUGUGGCCUUGUGGCCUUGUUACUUGGUCCUAGCUUUUCUUUUGUCCGCCCUGCUCCUGCCAUGGGCCCUCACAUUUUGGUGCUCCCGACCCUCAAACCCUGGGCACUAGUGUGCCCGCCACGAGUGCAGACACAACCGAGCAUCCACAGUGCUCCCUGGUGCGCGGCCAGGCCCCUCUGGAAGGGGAGCCGGCACCAGCCAGAGGUCCUGUAUGGGUGCCUGGGGACCUCUUGGGGCCAGCGGGGUGCUGGGCCACUUGCGUGACGGGCCACCCCUCCUCUGAACCCUCACUGUACAGGGCCACUUUGAGUCCAUCUGCUGGGUUCAUUCAUUACCCUCCCUGGAAACAGGUGGGGUACAACCAGCCAGCAGAGAGACACCCUAAGUCCCUUAGCUUCUCCGAGCCCCAGUUUUCUCAACUGAGAGGUGAGCCUGAUGUCAUGAAUGUGUCAUGUGUGCAGGGCAAUGCCAGGUGUGUGAGCACGCGUGAGUGUGUGUGUCCGCUUAUUUGUUCUCAGCCUCGAUCCACGGUGCAUUUCAAGCCCCUUGUGGGAAGCCACGGAGUACCAGGUUCCCACCCGUGAGAGGAGAAGGUGAAAGUAAGAGGAGGGUUCUGCUUCCCGCCUCAACGUCCGCCACCCGGGCCUUGGACCCGUCGCAGAUCUCACGCAGGCCUCGAACCUGAGUGGUUGUGAUUCCUAAUGUCCAGGGGUUAAAAUGGGCAUCCGGCUGUGCCAGGCCCGAGGUGGGCUAGCCUUAGUCUCCGAGUCCUGGGGAUCAUCCCGGAGGACCCCCUCCCGCAGGGGUGUG
rnacentral:lncRNA from 1 species